AAGGGCGCCUCAGCCCGAACGCCCUAAAGUGGUAUAUAAGGAGCCGGGGAGGAACGGGAGAUCAUAUUGCAAUUGCACUUCAACACUUCAACACUUUCUCGUACAAAAUGAAGCUGAUAUCGCUGUUGAUGGCUCUAGUUGUGGCCCUGUCUGGCCUCCUGGGUUCAGCUCGUGCCAUGCCUGACCCCUACCCUGUGGCUGACCCCGUGGCUGACCCUGACCCCGUAGCUGACCCCUGGUUCUUCAAACGCAAGCACUACUACCCCCCGCGUUACUAUCCCCGCUACCACCACUACCACCACUGGUGAAGAAGAGGAAACGUUUAUUCCAAUAGAAUUAAUAUAAGAUCUCAAUGUCUCCUGAAUUCUGUCUUUAAAUAAACUCCGAAUAUAUA
rnacentral:lncRNA from 1 species